rnacentral:rRNA from 1 species
UACAGAGGUCUCAAGCGUUGUUCGGAUUCAUUGGGCGUAAAGGGUGCGUAGGUGGCGUCGUAAGUCGGGUGUGAAAUUUCGGAGCUCAACUCCGAAACUGCAUUCGAUACUGCGGUGCUUGAGGACUGGAGAGGAGACUGGAAUUUACGGUGUAGCAGUGAAAUGCGUAGAGAUCGUAAGGAAGACCAGGGGCGAAGGCGGGUCUCUGGGCCGAUACUGACGCUGAGGAGCGAAAGCGUGGGGAGCGAACAGG